GAUGAAGAACGUAGCGAAAUGCGAUAAGUAAUGUGAAUUGCAGAAUUCAGUGAAUCAUCGAAUCUUUGAACGCACAUUGCGCCCCUCGGUAUUCCGACGGGCAUGCCUGUCCGAGCGUCGUUUGCAACCCAUCGAGUAACACUUCUCGGUCUUGGGCGCCGUCCGCCCCCUCGGGGGAUCGGACGGGCCCCAAAGCCCUCGGCGGCCCCGGGUGCCCCGCCGGAGCGUCUUCGAAAGCAAUCGCUCCGGCGCGUCGCGCCCCGGGACCACGCCGGCACCGCGGCCCCCCCCCCAAAGGGGUCGCACCCCCAACACCAAACGUCUGACCUCGGAUCAGGUAGGGCUACCCGCUGAACUUAAGCAUAUCAAUAAGCGGAGGA
rnacentral:misc_RNA from 1 species